UGGGGAAUAUUGGACAAUGGGCGCAAGCCUGAUCCAGCCAUGCCGCGUGAGUGAUGAAGGCCCUAGGGUUGUAAAGCUCUUUCACCGGUGAAGAUAAUGACGGUAACCGGAGAAGAAGCCCCGGCUAACUUCGUGCCAGCAGCCGCGGUAAUACGAAGGGGGCUAGCGUUGCUCGGAUUUACUGGGCGUAAAGCGCACGUAGGCGGACUUUUAAGUCAGGGGUGAAAUCCCGGGGCUCAACCCCGGAACUGCCUUUGAUACUGGAAGUCUUGAGUAUGGUAGAGGUGAGUGGAAUUCCGAGUGUAGAGGUGAAAUUCGUAGAUAUUCGGAGGAACACCAGUGGCGAAGGCGGCUCACUGGACCAUUACUGACGCUGAGGUGCGAAAGCGUGGGGAGCAAACAGG
rnacentral:rRNA from 1 species